CUUAUAUUUACCCAAGAUAAUUAAGUACUCAGAAUGUUGAGCCAAGUCAUUAAUAUCGAGAAUAUUGACACAGAAGAGAGACUGUAUGCCUGACGUCUUGGUUUUUCCUAUUAUUUUGGCGUAACCGUAAUUUGUCGUCGAGAUGCUGACGCCAUGGUCCUAGCCAGUGCGAUUCGCCCACUGAUAAUAUUCAAAAUGGCAGACAUCCAGGGGGGACGCCUCUCAUAAGCACACUGGCUAGGAC